CGAGCGCGGCGCAGGACCCAUCAAUUCUCUGCCCUCAAGCCUAAUGGCGCACCCGGCUUCACGCUCUCUACCCUACCGUGCCUGGUCAUUGGGCGACGCGUGGCGUAAGAGCAAAGAACAGCGUUUUGAUUGGGUCUCGGCGAACGAAUCCUGUUUAAAGGAAGCCGGGCGAAGCCUGCGGGCCGAACUUCUCGAGCGACAAUUUGCCAACAGUCAACAACUCAUUGAACACUUGGCAGGUGCCGACACUGUGCUGGACCGCACGUGGAUGUGUGAAGCGGAAAGCGAAGAGCUCGAGGCACUGGAGCAGACAACACAGAACCUCGCGAAGUCUCUUCAGUCGUGGGGGUUGCAUUCCUCUUCACAGCGACCCGGAUUCUAAUUCUGAGUUCUCCACUGGACUUGGCCCCAGGCUUGGUUGUCCUCAAGCUUCUGCAGCUCUCCACAUCUGAUUUUAUUUAAGAUGGCAUCUCCGAACAUAAGGCUCAACCCUGGAAAGAGUUGAUAAAUAAAAAAGUUUUUCAUGCAAUUUAGCAUCUCACACGUUUUACUGAGGGAUUCGUGAAUCAGACAUCAUCCCAUUCAGAAAGUAAAAGGGAGCUCCACGGAGGAAGUGGAAAGGGGAAACACAUAAUAGGGUCAAUCCGGAAGCAAGUGAGGAAAUGUUCUGAAUGGCUACAACGUUUCCACUUUACAUAGGGGGGAUCUUACAAAGUGGGGAGCAGAU
rnacentral:lncRNA from 1 species